rnacentral:rRNA from 1 species
AAGCAUAAUCACUUGCCUUUUAAUUGGGGGCUGGUAUGAAUGGAACUUCGGGGGUUAAACUGUCUCUAGGCUAAAUGUGGAAGUUGCUGUUCUGUGAAGAAGCGAGAGUAACAAAAAAAGACAAGAAGACCCUAUUAAGCUUUACUUUUAAGUUUUGUUUUUUAUCUUAGAAGAAUAAAAAACAAAACUAUGUUAGUUUGGUUGGGGUGACUAAAAAGGAAAAAAUCCUUUUUUGGUAAAAGUACUUUAGGUUAAAUAAAAGAUCAAAUUUUUUGAUUAAUAGAACAAGUUACUAUAGGGAUAACAGCGUAAUUUUUUCAGAGAGUUCUUAUUGACGAAAAAGAUUGCGACCUCGAUGUU